ACCGUGACUCACUCCUGGGACCCAGGGGAAACACAGCCCUGAGCUGCGGGCAAACACGGCCUGCCGCCUGCCCCGCCUCCAGCUCCCCGCCUCCACAUUUGCUAACCGAAACCCGGCUGUUGCUAUUUUUAACCCUCCAGCUCCCCCUUGCCUGGGGCUCCCCCCUUCACCCCACCCCCACCCCCCUGCCCCAACCGGGUGCCACCAGCCUGUCAUUCUGAGAGCAGUUCCACAACCUGAACGCCCAGGAGGGCGCAGCGGAUGCCCGUGCAGCUCUCCCAGGAGAGGGCCGGACCAUCCUGCAGCCCACAGCUCCGGGGCCCCCAGGAAAACCUACCAGAAGAGGCUGGAGGCGAGAGGGUCUGAAGGCUGCUGGCUGACGUGAAAGAGUGGAAGUUCCCUGAGGUCAGACGCCCUGCCAAUGAGAUCACUGUGUAUCUGUGCCCGGGACCUGGCAUACAGCAAGUCUCAUUCACAGGCCCAGAAUCAGAGCCCAGCCCAGCUGCCGGAUUUGCCGCCUACUCUCACUCCCCAGGACCAACAGACCCCAGGUUUGGGGGGCACACAUCCUGUCCCCCACCGCUCCGGACACAGCCUGCGGUCCCCAUCUUCCCGCGCCCC